rnacentral:tRNA from 1 species
GCGCCGGUGGUGUAAGGCGAACAUCGCUGCCCGGAAAGCAGAAGAUGCGGGUUCGAGUCCCGCCUAUCGCA